ensembl:lncRNA
UUACCUUUGUAAAUAAAUUCUAAGAAUGGGAUGGAGCUGAAAUUAAGUGUAGAGGAGGACAAAGGGCCCAUAUGCCGGUACUGAUGUAUGCCACCAAGUCAUACUGAUUGUUCAGAGCCCAGGGAAGCUAUAGGAGAGAGCAGAGUAGGGACAUGAGGAAGGGAAAUGGAGAGCUGCCCUGUCCUAUUGAACCAGGUCUUCAAGGUUUUAUCUAGCUCUAGGAUUUUUCAAGGACACUGCAUUAUACAUGUGAAUGUUGUAGUGAUAUGACAUAAACCCUAUUCAAAGCACAGUGUAAAUUUGGAGGAAAAUUAUCUUUGCAUUGUUUUUGAGGAUAACUGACUGUUGAUGAUACAGGCACUGUUGUAACUCACUUCACCCUGUACGAGUGCUUUGUGGUAAAUUCGGUUAUCAUCCCUAUUUUACAGAGGGGGAGACUAACGCGUAGGGAAGUUCAGUGGUUCUCCACUGGCCACAGCUCAGCCAGCAAGCAGCAGAGCCUGAAUUCAAGCCCGGGCACUGUGGCUCCAGACCCCAAGCUAAUCCUUGUGCUUCUUGCAGCACGCCUGCUUCCUUGUCACUAAGAACUUGGUGCAGGAAUUUAACAGUACCUUUAACUUCUAGUUUUUCUUUCUCAGAACUGAUUCUGCGUUGCAGUGCAUCUCUGCAUAAACAUGUAAGUGUUUAAUUUUGUCACCUUUAAUUUUGUUUUUAGAUAAGAUGUGAAGGAAUCAGGCUGUUUCUUCUGUGGCUUCAAGCACUUCAGACACACUGUGCAGAAGAGCAGGUGCUGAUUUGUGCUUGCCUCGUGCCUGGUUUCGCAGCGAUCAUGUCAUCCCGAGGGCCCUGUACGCUGCACUCAUCAGUCCUAACCCUAGUGUGGCUCAUGGUGGAAGCAGCCUUCCUCAAUACUGGCUACAUCUCUUCCUCAUCAAUUUGAUUUUGAGCUCUCCAGCAUCUGUGCAAGACCAAAUUUCAGGUUUCUGGCCUUUGAGUUGUUGCAGCUGGAAAACCCAACCUGACAGGCUCAAAGAAGGGGGACGACUGUUUCACAUAACUGAUGUCUAGAGGAAGGGCUGACAUCUCUCACUGCUAGAGGUGGGGACUCAUGUUUGCUAUCUCUUGACUCAGUUCUGAUGCCCCCUGUAAUUUGCCUUCAUUUUCAAACAGCUGCUCUGGGCCUCCUGUCUUCUCAUCUUCAUGCCCAGCAAAAAAGAGAGAGCCUGCUAUUCAAAUAGUUGAAAGAAAAUUCCACCAUGAAGUCUCAUGAUCCACAGGUGGCCAGACUUGGGUCACAUGCCAUCUUUAAGGCAGUCACUAAGGCCUGGGGGAGACUGGCUGCUCGGACUGCUUUAGCCAAGAUCACAUUCUCCAAGUCAUGGUCCAAAGCGUAGCGUCAGCUUCCCUGGAAACUGGUGGAGGGAGAGGGAAGGAGGAUGCAUCACCACCUGGAUGGCCUUCUCAUUAUUAUAAGAAGGCCAGGCUGCCAUUGGUUUGUGAGUCAGCACUAACCUCAGGGACUGUUUGAUGAUGUUGCUUUCACAUGGACUGUGUGACCAGUGAGGAAUGCACACAGCCUGUGGGUAAACAGUCCUCAGCACCAUGUAUCAGCUAACAGCCAUUCAGGAAGGGUGGACAUUUUUCUUAGUCUAUUCCUCAGGGGCCUGGAUUUGGGUAAAAGAAAAAUAAGUAUCGUUCUUCAUGAUUACAAGUACCUCACCAAAAUGUUGGAUCCUGUUCACCAGGAAGCCCUAUAUUUUCUGAACACUUUCAUGGCUGUGGGAAAAUCUAGAAAGGGCCGAACUGUUCUACCCUACAGAGGUAGGGUUUCAACCUGCUGAGGGAUCUGGAGGGAAGGGACGGGUGGACAAGUAGAAAAUACUAAGGGAAAGA